rnacentral:rRNA from 1 species
GAUGAACGCUGGCGGCGUGCCUAAUACAUGCAAGUCGAGCGUAUGGAUUAAGAGCUUGCUCUUAUGAAGUUAGCGGCGGACGGGUGAGUAACACGUGGGUAACCUGCCCAUAAGACUGGGAUAACUCCGGGAAACCGGGGCUAAUACCGGAUAACAUUUUGAACCGCAUGGUUCGAAAUUGAAAGGCGGCUUCGGCUGUCACUUAUGGAUGGACCCGCGUCGCAUUAGCUAGUUGGUGAGGUAACGGCUCACCAAGGCAACGAUGCGUAGUCGACCUGAGAGGGUGAUCGGCCACACUGGGACUGAGACACGGCCCAGACUCCUACGGGAGGCAGCAGUAGGGAAUCUUCCGCAAUGGACGAAAGUCUGACGGAGCAACGCCGCGUGAGUGAUGAAGGCUUUCGGGUCGUAAAACUCUGUUGUUAGGGAAGAACAAGUGCUAGUUGAAUAAGCUGGCACCUUGACGGUACCUAACCAGAAAGCCACGGCUAACUACGUGCCAGCAGCCGCAGUAA